AAGCAGAAAAGCUUGAUUGAAGACACUGUGAUAGUCAAGUUCAAAUAAAGAGAAUGUGACUAGUAACGAAUAAAUUAAAGUUGCAUGAUAUUUCGUUAAAUGCUAAAACAUUUUUUAAAUAUAUAUAAGGCAAUUUUGAACUAUAUAGUUUGCACAUUUGUUUGAACUUCUGCAGCAAAGCAUUGCCGUAUGGAGUUACUCAUGCAGCAAAGGUUAGUGGCUUGCCCAUGGUUUAUUCAUCUGCAAUCAUCUUCUUUCCUUUUUUUUCCUGAUCUGUUUUUCUAUUUUAGGCUCUAGAACCUGCUACUCUUGUUCCUCUUCAGCUUUUAAAGUCAAGUGGAACCAAAUGCAUAAUGGUUGGUGACCCAAAGCAACUUCCUGCAACUGUCCUCUCAAAUGUUGCGAGUAAAUAUCUUUACGAGUGCAGCAUGUUUGAACAUUUACAAAGGGCAGGGCAUCCUGUUAUCAUGCUUACUGAGCAGUUGCAAAAGCUUUAAAGAAAGUAAAUGUUGUUU